rnacentral:rRNA from 1 species
UACGAAGGGGGCUAGCGUUGUUCGGAAUUACUGGGCGUAAAGCGUAUGCAGGCGGAUCGUUAAGUCGGGGGUGAAAUCCCGAGGCUCAACCUCGGAACUGCCUUCGAUACUGGCGAUCUUGAGUCCGGGAGAGGUGAGUGGAACUCCGAGUGUAGAGGUGAAAUUCGUAGAUAUUCGGAAGAACACCAGUGGCGAAGGCGGCUCACUGGCCCGGUACUGACGCUGAGAUACGAAAGCGUGGGGGAGCAAACAGG